rnacentral:rRNA from 1 species
UUGAACGCUGGCGGCAUGCCUUACACAUGCAAGUCGAACGGUAGAGGGGCAACCCUUGAGAGUGGCGAACGGGUGAGUAAUAUAUCGGAACGUGCCCAGUCGUGGGGGAUAACGCAGCGAAAGCUGCGCUAAUACCGCAUACGACCUAUGGAUGAAAGCGGGGGAUCGCAAGACCUCGCGCGAUUGGAGCGGCCGAUAUCAGAUUAGGUAGUUGGUGGGGUAAAAGGCCCACCAAGCCGA